rnacentral:rRNA from 1 species
AAUGAACGCUGGCGGCAGGCCUAACACAUGCAAGUCGAACGGAUCCUUCGGGAUUAGUGGCGGACGGGUGAGUAACGCGUGGGAACGUGCCCUAUGGUUCGGAAUAGCCUAGGGCAACUGGGCGCAAUACCGGAUAAGCACUACGGGGGAAAGAUUUAUCGCCAAAGGACCGGCCCGCGUUGGAUUAGGUAGUUGGUGGGGUACUGGCCUACCAAGCCGACGAUCCAUAGCCGGUUUGAGAGGAUGAUCAGCCACACUGGAGAUGAGACACGGCCCAGACUCCUACGGGAGGCAGCAGUGGGGAAUGUUAGACAAUGGGGGAAACCCUUAUCUAGCCAUGCCGCGUGAUCGAUGAAGGCCUUAGGGUUGUAAAGAUCUUUCAGUUGGGAAGAUAAUGACGGUACCAACAGAAGAAGCCCCGGCUAACUCCGUGCCAGCCGCCGCGGUAACAC